CGAAGGGGCUAGCGUUGCUCGGAAUUACUGGGCGUAAAGGGAGCGUAGGCGGACAUUUAAGUCAGGGGUGAAAUCCCGGGGCUCAACCUCGGAAUUGCCUUUGAUACUGGGUGUCUUGAGUAUGAGAGAGGUGUGUGGAACUCCGAGUGUAGAGGUGAAAUUCGUAGAUAUUCGGAAGAACACCAGUGGCGAAGGCGACACACUGGCUCAUUACUGACGCUGAGGCUCGAAAGCGUGGGGAGCAAACAGGAUU
rnacentral:rRNA from 1 species